UGUCAAUAAACGUCGGCAAAAAAAGCUCAUGACAGUAAAUUGUUGUCAGGAGCACAGUUACAGUCACCAACACUCUGGAUAACAUGAAAACAGCCUAACCAACUCUGCUAGGGCGAGUAAAAUGGUCAGAAUUUAGGUGGGGGCUAAAGGUGUGGAUGUUUCUUAUGAUAUUGCACUCGGUCAGUGUGAACCAGAGUGACUUGACACAACAACGGGACAAGCAAGCUGUAAAUACAAAACGGAAACAACACAGGACUUCUUAUUUAAUUAAAUGGGUUGCAGGCUGCCGUGAAGCUUUAAUCCAUGUAACAUUAACGUGUACGGCAUCAAUAGCACACACCUUACAAUCCUCCACCAGUCAUAAAAAGAGAAUGGUCUAAUGCCUCCCAUCAAAAAGAGAGCUGGCCCAACCAAGCACAGGUUUCACCUGAAGCAUGAGGACUUGCAGCUAGUGGUGAACUUCAUCAACAACUACGCAGAGGAUAAUGCAGUAGUAUUACCUGGAUGCCACUCAGGACACAAACACUUUGGUGGAAAGCUGCUGCCAUCUCAUAUGACAAAAGCAGCAGUGUGGUGUCUCUACAAGGAUUUGAUGACAACACUUGAAGCUGCUAAGUCAGCCAAGCUGAAGAAGCAAGAGAAGCAUCUCCAGCUUGUUCAGUGAGCAGUCUGUCUACCAGAAGAUGGCUGCUGACUGCAAGACCACCUGUCAAGACCUGCAGUUGUCUCUGGGGGCCCCUACUGAACCAGGAUGCAUUACAGCUUUUAUUUUUCUCAACAACCAGGUCCCAUCUACUUAUUAACUCCUCGCAAGUGUGUCUUGUUUGGUGUCUGCUGUGAAGGAAUACCACAAGUCAACUACUUGAUUGAUGAAGGCACGUCAUCCAGCAAAGGCAGCAGCGCAGUCAUCAACUACAUGCACCAUUUCUUCACCAACUACGGAGUUGGGGAAACAAGUCGACCUGAAUUGUGAUAACUGCAGUGGACAAAACAAGAACAUGUUUGUGCUCUGGUAUUGUGCCUGGCGAACCAUGCACAAGCUCCACCACAGUUUGGACCUUCACUGCCUGAUCACAGGCCACACCAAGUUUGGUGCUUGGACCUCCUCAAGACCAGAGUGAAUACUUUGUCUAAGAUUGCUGGUGUUGUGAAGGACAGCACUGUGACCUUUGGUUGGACUGAAGGAUGGUACGGUGCUGGUGGAAAGCUAUGGCUGGCAACAACACCUGACUCUGUUCCACAGAUCAUGCAGUACCAGCACUUCAGCUUCGAUGCUCUGGAGACUGGUGUUGUCGCAAUGCUGACACCCUUCCUCCCAUAUAUGGUCUGCCCGUACAUGCACCACCUGAACUGGACACAACCUGACAAACACAUCUUUUUGAGAAGAUUGGGGAGUUUUGCGAAUAAGGCUAUGGACAUCAUAUGCCCUGCACCGUAGUCAGAGGCAGGACAAAUAGGCAUUCCGAAUAUAGAUUCCCGUGUUCAUGCGUGGUUUGGACGGACCAGUCAUCAGCACUAUCUGCAGUGCCUCUAUUCAUGACUCUCUCCUAACACGCACGCCAUAUGUUGCUGCUACUGUUUUAUUUUAUUCUGCUUCCACUUUACCCCUGAUUGUAUGCAUAUAUCUACUCAUCUAUCACUGAUAUUGCUCUUGUGCAUACUGUAUAUUAUUUUAUUGAAAUUGACACUAUCUAUUUCUGAAAAUCCAAGUAACUAUUUGACUACCGUUUACAUCUUCUGUAGAGACCCAUCCACUUAGCAAGACUUAGCAAAAUAUUGAUAUACACUGCUCAAAAAAAUAAAGGGAACACUAAAAUAACACAUCCUAGAUCUGAAUGAAUGAAAUAUUCUUAUUAAAUACUUUUUUCUUUACAUAGUUGAAUGUGCUGACAACAAAAUCACACAAAUUUACAAUGGAAAUCAAAUUUAUCAACCCAUGGAGGUCUGGAUUUGGAGUCACACUCAAAAUUAAAGUGGAAAACCACACGACAGGCUGAUCCAACUUUGAUGUAAUGUCCUUAAAAUAAGUCAAAAUGAGGCUCAGUAGUGUGUGUGGCCUCCCUACAACGCCUGGGCAUGCUCCUGAGGAUGGUCUCCUGAGGGAUCUCCUCCCAGACCUGGACUAAAGCAUCCGCCAACUCCUGGACAGUGUGGUGCAACGUGGAGUUGGUGGAUGGAGCGAGACAUGAUGGCCAGAUGUGCUCAAUUGGAUUCAGGUCUGGGGAACGGGCGGGCCAGUCCAUAGCAUCAAUGCCUUCCUCUUGCAGGAACUGCUGACACACUCCAGCCACAUGAGGUCUAGCAUUGUCUUGCUUUAGGAGGAACCCAGGGCCAACCGCACCAGCAUAUGGUCUCACAAGGGGUCUGAGGACCUCAUCUCGUUACCUAAUGGCAGUUAGGCUACCUCUGGCGAGCACAUGGAGGGUUGUGCGGCCCCCCAAAGAAAUGCCAUCCUACACCAUGACUGACCCACCGCCAAACCGGUCAUGCUGGAGGAUGUUCCAGGCAGCAGAAUGUUCUCCACAGCGUCUCCAGACUCUGUCACGUGCUCAGUGUGAACCUGCUUUCAUCUGUGAAGAGCACAGGGCGCCAGUGGCGAAUUUGCCAAUCUUGGUGUUCUCUGGCAAAUGCCAAACGUCCUCAUGCAGUCUGUUUCUGAACGUUUGAGCAGACACAUGCACAUUUGUGGCCUGCUAGAGGUCAUUUUGCAGGGCUCAGGCAGUGCUCCUCCUGCUCCUUGCACAAAGGUGGAGGUAGCGGUCCUGCUGCUGGGUUGUUGCCCUCCUACGGCCUCCUCCACGUCUCCUGAUGUACUGGCCUGUCUCCUGGUAGCGCCUCCAUGCUCUGGACACUACGCUGACAGACACAGCAAACCUUCUUGCCACAGCUCGCAUUGAUGGGCCAUCCUGAAUGAGCUACACUACCUGAGCCACUUGUGUGGGUUGUAGGCUCCGUCUCAUGCUACCACUAGAGUGAAAGCACCGCCAGCAUUCAAAAGUGACCAAAAUAUCAGCCAGGAAGCAUAGGAACUGAGAAGUGGUCUGUGGUCACCACCUGCAGAACCACUUCUUUAAUGGGGGUUUCUUGCUAAUUGCCUAUAAUUUCCACCUGUUGUCUAUUCCAUUUGCACAACACCAAGUGAAAUUUAUUGUCAAUCAGUUUUGCUUCCUAAGUGGACAGUUUGAUUUCACAGAAGUGUGAUUGACUUGGAGUUAUAUUGUGUUGUUUGUGUUCCCUUUAUUUUUUUGAGCAGUGUAUAAAAUUAAUUUUGACAAGUGGUCCUAACAUGAUUUUGUAACAUACCACAAUAUCAUGUGACCGUAUCAAGUGUUCACCAAAAAUAUAUGGCGCAUGCAUCUGUAUAUGUACUGUACAUGUGCACCUCACUCAGGUUGCAUGGCCUUAACCUAUGUAUGGAAUACUAUAUGAUAAGUGUGUGUGUAACAGUAUAUAAAGUAUGCUAAUGAAUGGAUGUGAAGGCAUUUGGGCAUUGGUGUAAAAAUACUUUAAAGUACUACUUCAUAAUUUUUGGGGGGAUAUCUGUACAUUAUUUUGCUAUUUAUAUUUUUGGCAACUUUUACUUCACUACAUUCCAAAAGUAAAUGAACUUUUAACUCCAACAAAAGUACUUGUUACAUUAUGAUGGGAAAAUUGUCUAAUUCAAACAACUUAUGAAGAGAACAUCUAUGCUGCAUUUGAUCUGGCAGACUCACUAAACACAAAUGCUUUGUUUGUGAAUCAUGUCUGAGUGUUGUAGUGUGCCCCUGGCUUUUCGUUAAUAAAAAAAUAAGUCUGGUUUAAUAAGGAAUUUGAAAUUAUUUUUACUUUUGAUACUAAAUUACAUUUUAGCAAUUCUAUUUACUUUUGGUACUUAAGUCAUAUUUUACUUCAGUCAUUUUCU